CACGCCCCGUACGAUUUGUCCCCUUGCUGUGCUUCCCAUCUCCCUGUCUCUGGUUCAUGGAAGUCUUUUUUCUCCCUUUUCCAGGCAGUGAGGAGACACCCACAGUCGCGGUUCCCCAUUAUCAAGGCAGUACCUGAGCCACAGAAAUGGAAAAACCUCUUUCUGCGGAUCGGACCUAUCCAGUGACAUGCAUUUCCACCCUCAGUUGGCUCAGAAUUCCCGUGACUGGUGUAUUAAAAUGGCAGCCUUCCAGACGAGUAACAAGCAUUGCCA